rnacentral:rRNA from 1 species
UACGUAGGGUGCUAGCGUUGUCCGGAUUUAUUGGGCGUAAAGGGCUCGUAGGCGGCGUGUCGCGUCGGGGAGUGAAAGCCCGCUGCUUAACGGCGGGUUGGCUUCCGGUACGGGCAUCGCUGGAGUGCGGCAGGGGAGACUGGAAUUCCUGGUGUAGCGGUGGAAUGCGCAGAUAUCAGGAGGAACACCGGUGGCGAAGGCGGGUCUCUGGGCCGUAACUGACGCUGAGGAGCGAAAGCGUGGGGAGCAAACAGG